AUUGAACGCUGGCGGCAUGCCUUACACAUGCAAGUCGAACGGUAACGGGCCUUCGGGUGCCGACGAGUGGAGAACGGGUGAGUAAUACAUCGGAACGUGCCCGAUCGUGGGGGGUAACGAGGCGAAAGCUUUGCUAAUACCGCAUACGAUCUACGGAUGAAAGCAGGGGACCGCAAGGCCUUGCGCGGACGGAGCGGCCGAUGGCAGAUUCGGUAGUUGGUGGGACAAAAGCUUACCAAGCCGACGAUCUGUAGCUGGUCUGAGAGGAUGAUCAGCCACACGGGGACUGAGACACGGCCCAGACUCCUGCGGGAGGCAGCAGUGGGGAAUUUUGGACAAUGGGCGCAAGCCUGAUCCGGCCAUGCCGCGUGCAGGAUGAAGGCCUUCGGGUUGUAAACUGCUUUUGUACGGAACAAAAAGCCUUCUUUUAAUACAGGAGGGUCAUGACGGUACCGUAAGAAUAAGCACCGGCUAACUACGUG
rnacentral:rRNA from 1 species